rnacentral:misc_RNA from 1 species
GUGCAUUGUCUGAUCUGAUGCCUUUCACCUCUGAGCUUUGUACAUUUGACGAAGGAACUUUGCGUCCAGAUAAAUCAAACUUAAAAUGUAGGAAUGACUCAGAAUUGAUGUUAGCUCCUUCUCUGGAACUGGACAGAUCUGGAUCAUCCUGGACAACAUUGCUGGUAACAACAGAGUCAAGAUUUCUAUCCCAGAAACCAGAAGAAACUUUACCAGGCUGAGUAAUUGAACCAUCGUGCAUGGUAUUAAUACUCAGACCUGUAAUAUCAGUGGAUGCACACUGAGUCUCUCCAUCAUUGCUGCGAGAUAUACUCUUAUUUAAUUUACUAAAUUUAUUAAAACUAUCUAC